GAUGAACGCUGGCGGCGUGCCUAAUACAUGCAAGUCGAGCGAACAGACGAGGAGCUUGCUCCUCUCACGUUAGCGGCGGACGGGUGAGUAACACGUGUAUCACCUACCUAUAAGACUGGGAUAACUUCGGGAAACCGGAGCUAAUACCGGAGAAUAUAUUGAACCGCAGUGGUCGAUAGUGAAAGUCGGUUUUGGGGUCUGUUCUAGAUGGAUCUGAGCCUGAUUGUGUAGUUGGGAAGGUAACGGGUUACCAAGGGAACUAGGGGUAGGCGAGCGGAGAGAGUGGUCGGCCACCCUGGAACGUAGACACGGACCAGACUCCUACGAGAGGCAGCAGUAGGGAAUCUUCCGCAAUAGGCGAAAGCCUGACGGAGCAACGCCGAGUGAGUGAUGACGAUCUUCGGAUCGUAAAACUCUGUUAUGAGGGAAGAACAAAUGUGUAAGUAACUAUGCCGGUAUUGACGGUACCGAAUCAGAAAGCCACGGCUAACUACGUG
rnacentral:rRNA from 1 species